rnacentral:pre_miRNA from 13 species
GUCUUUGGUUAUCUAGCUGUAUGAGUUUAUUCACCGUCAUAAAGCUAAAUAACCGAAAGU